rnacentral:lncRNA from 1 species
AACCAAGAGUGACACUAGCAGCAUAUCAUGGUUACCCAAGCUAAUCAGAAGAGGUAGAAAACCUAUUCAGUUUAGGAUUACAAAUGCAAUACGGUCUUUCUCUAAUACAAUACUCUUGACCACAUUGUUUGGUUUGAUAGUUUAUUCAUGUCUACUAUCCAAUUUGAUUCGUGUGCUUAUAUGAUUACCUUGAAUGUGAUUUGGAACGACUUUCCU